AGAAUCGUAAUCGGCUCUCCCACGUAUCGUUUGCUUUCACGAUUAGAUAUCGUGAAUCGUUCGGUGACUGUUCCUAGUCACUAACGCCGAUUAGAUAGGACAGUAAUUGCGGAACAAUGACCGCUCGUCGGCCGUUAGCACCGCCGGAUUGCAUCGCUUCGAGAGGUAAAAGACGAAGAUCGGAACGGAGGAGUCGAGCGAAUCGCAGAUGGCUGCCGGAGACCCACUGGCCCAGUUCCGCCUGGCUUCGCUUCAUCCCCCUUGCAUCGCUGCUCCCUGCUGCAUCUUUAGUGACGUCAUCGACCACCACCCACGUCAGGAGAGGCAACCCCUACCGCUGUGCUUGCACUCCCCACCUUGGUUCUCCUUUCUAUCCCUCUCUAUCUAUCUAACUCUCUCUUUCUCUCUCUCCCUCUUUCUCUCUCUCUCUCUCUCUCUCUCUCCAUUUUCCUCCCUUUCCUUCUUUCUCACUGUUUCCUUCCUCGAGUCACGAAAGGAGAAAAUGCACUUCUGCCAACCACCCUUGAAGUUACCCCUAUAACGACUCUCUUUCUCUUUCCCUGUUUCUACCUCCUAUUUCUGCCUUCAUUUUUAUCUAUCUUCUUUCCAUUUCAUAAUGCCAUUUUAAGAGCUCUAAUCUUCGAGUCCCGCCAUUUUAGAAAAUGUUACUAUCCCUUUCAAAGUUAUCUCCGAAUAGAGAAGGUUCUUCAACGGAGCAUCGAACGAUUAAGUCUAACUGAUAAAGUAUAGCUGAAGCUUCCCUCUUUCGUGGCGCGAUGGCAGCAGCUGACGGUAAAUCGAUUGAAAAUUAGUUUUAAUAAUUUUUUGAACAAAUAAUUUGUUUUUAAACUAACUGCUGAGAUAUCUUUUCAAAAUAUAUGAUAUUCAAUGUUUUUAAGGAUUUCAGACUUUUAAACAAGAGGAGCAAAUGAAUAGCGUCUAUUUUCUUUGCCUCCUGCGCGAUGUAUGUGUUCGCCAAUUUAGCACGUCCGAGUAUAGCCAAUUAGUAAUUAGUAAAACCCUUCGAUAGUUUCCAUUAAACGCACUCGGCCCAUUCCCAUACUCCUGUCACGUAAAAUCGAACGAAAACGCACAAUUUUAUGAUUUUCAAAGCCUUUAACGAGUGACCGGACGUUAAGAAUUUUCCGUAAGAUCUGGAAGAUCAAUGAAAGAAGAAAGGGGGAGUAGCAAAAAUGAGGGAAAAGGGGUGUCGAACUGCAAUUAUCGUGUAUCGAUAAUGCAUCAAGCUUGUGUAAGCACUAAGUGGAGGAAGUUGUGCGAUUCGUACAUACGUUCACAAGAUUCUAAGGGUGCGUUCAAAAUUGUUUAA